UACGUAGGGCGCAAGCGUUAUCCGGAAUUAUUGGGCGUAAAGAGCUCGUAGGCGGUUUGUCGCGUCUGCUGUGAAAGACCGGGGCUCAACUCCGGUUCUGCAGUGGGUACGGGCAGACUAGAGUGAUGUAGGGGAGACUGGAAUUCCUGGUGUAGCGGUGAAAUGCGCAGAUAUCAGGAGGAACACCGAUGGCGAAGGCAGGUCUCUGGGCAUUAACUGACGCUGAGGAGCGAAAGCGUGGGGAGCAAACAGG
rnacentral:rRNA from 1 species